AGAGUUUGAUCCUGGCUCAGAAUGAACGUUGGCGGCGUGGAUUAGGCAUGCAAGUCGCGCGUGUACCCGCAAGGGGAAAGCGGCGUAAGGGACAGUAAUACGUAGAUCACCUACCCUCGGAUUCGGGAUAGCUGCGGGAAACUGCAGGUAAUACCGAAUGACGUCUCCGGACCAAAGGUGUGAUUCCGUCCGAGGAUGGGUCUGCGUCCUAUUAGCUAGUUGGUAAGGUAAUGGCUUACCAAGGCAAUGAUGGGUAGUGGGUGUGAGAGCACGACCCGCGUCACUGGGACUGAGAUACUGCCCAGACACCUACGGGUGGCUGCAGUCGAGGAUCUUCGGCAAUGGGCGCAAGCCUGACCGAGCGACGCCGCGUGCGGGAUGAAGGCCUUCGGGUUGUAAACCGCUGUC
rnacentral:rRNA from 1 species